rnacentral:rRNA from 1 species
AAGAGACAGCAGUAGCCACGGGAAUACGUAGGUGGCAAGCGUUGUCCGGAAUUAUUGGGCGUAAAGCGCGCGCAGGCGGCCUAUCCAGUCUGUCUUAAAAGUUCGGGGCUCAACCCCGUGAUGGGAUGGAAACUAGUAGGCUAGAGUAUCGGAGAGGAAAGCGGAAUUCCUAGUGUAGCGGUGAAAUGCGUAGAUAUUAGGAAGAACACCAGUGGCGAAGGCGGCUUUCUGGACGAAAACUGACGCUGAGGCGCGAAAGCCAGGGGAGCGAACGGGAUUAGAUACCCGAGUAGUCCCUGUCUCUUAUACC